AGUCGUACAAGUUCAGUAGGUGAACCUGCGGAAGGAUCCAAUUGAAAGAAUUAGGGGCGUUCGCGGCCAAGUUCUCACCCUUUGUAUACCGAAACCAUGUUGCUUUGGCAGGCCCCUGCAUUUCUCGGGCCUGCCAGAGGUUAUAAACCCUAGAAUCUCUGCUGUCUGAGUACUAUACAAUAGUUAAAA
rnacentral:misc_RNA from 1 species